rnacentral:rRNA from 1 species
UAAUACGUAGGGUCCGAGCGUUGUCCGGAGUUACUGGGCGUAAAGCGCGCGCAGGCGGCGGCGUGGGUCCGGCGUGAAAGCCCCCGGCUUAACCGGGGAGGGUCGUCGGGGACCGCGCCGCUUGAGGUCGGUAGGGGCCGGUGGAAUGCCCGGUGUAGUGGUGAAAUGCGUAGAGAUCGGGCAGAACACCCGUGGCGAAGGCGGCCGGCUGGGCCGAUCCUGACGCUGAGGCGCGAAGGCGUGGGGAGCGAACGGGAUUAGAUACCCCGGUAGUCCACGCGGUAAACGAUGCGGACUAGGCGUGGGGGGAGUUGACCCCCUCCGUGCCGGAGCUAACGCGGGAAGUCCGCCGCCUGGGGAGUACGGCCGCAAGGCUA